rnacentral:rRNA from 1 species
GAUUAACGCUGGCGGCGUGCCUAAUACAUGCAAGUCGAGCGAACGGACGAGAAGCUUGCUUCUCUGAUGUUAGCGGCGGACGGGUGAGUAACACGUGGAUAACCUACCUAUCAGACUGGGAUAACUUCGGGAAACCGGAGCUAAUACCGGAUGAUAUUUUGAACCGCAUGGUUCAAAAGUGAAAGACGGUCUUGCUGUCACUUAUAGAUGGAUCCGCGCUGCAUUAGCUAGUUGGUAAGGUAACGGCUUACCAAGGCAACGAUGCAUAGCCGACCUGAGAGGGUGAUCGGCCACACUGGAACUGAGACACGGUCCAGACUCCUACGGGAGGCAGCAGUAGGGAAUCUUCCGCAAUGGGCGAAAGCCUGACGGAGCAACGCCGCGUGAGUGAUGAAGGUCUUCGGAUCGUAAAACUCUGUUAUUAGGGAAGAACAUAUGUGUAAGUAACUGUGCACAUCUUGACGGUACCUAAUCAGAAAGCCACGGCUAACUACGUG